rnacentral:rRNA from 1 species
AACGAACGCUGGCGGCAUGCCUAACACAUGCAAGUCGAACGAGACCUUCGGGUCUAGUGGCGCACGGGUGCGUAACGCGUGGGAACCUGCCCUUAGGUUCGGAAUAACUCCCCGAAAGGGGUGCUAAUACCGGAUAAUGUCUUCGGACCAAAGAUUUAUCGCCUUUGGAUGGGCCCGCGUUGGAUUAGCUGGUUGGUAGGGUAAAAGCCUACCAAGGCGACGAUCCAUACCUGGUCUGAGAGGAUGAUCAGCCACACUGGGACUGAGACACGGCCCAGACUCCUACGGGAGGCAGCAGUGGGGAAUAUUGGACAAUGGGCGAAAGCCUGAUCCAGCAAUGCCGCGUGAGUGAUGAAGGCCUUAGGGUUGUAAAGCUCUUUUACCCGGGAUGAUAAUGACAGUACCGGGAGAAUAAGCUCCGGCUAACUCCGUG